UGGGGGGACCCUGAUCCAGCCAUGCCGCGUGUGUGAAGAAGGCCUUUUGGUUGUAAAGCACUUUAAGCAGUGAAGAAGACCUAACGGUUAAUACCCGUUAGCGAUGACAUUAGCUGCAGAAUAAGCACCGGCUAACUCUGUGCCAGCAGCCGCGGUAAUACAGAGGGUGCAAGCGUUAAUCGGAAUUACUGGGCGUAAAGCGAGCGUAGGUGGCUUGAUAAGUCAGAUGUGAAAUCCCCGGGCUUAACCUGGGAACUGCAUCUGAUACUGUUAAGCUAGAGUAGGUGAGAGGGAAGUAGAAUUCCAGGUGUAGCGGUGAAAUGCGUAGAGAUCUGGAGGAAUACCGAUGGCGAAGGCAGCUUCCUGGCAUCAUACUGACACUGAGGUUCGAAAGCGUGGGUAGCAAACAGGAUUAGAUACCCUGGUAGUCCACGCCGUAAACGAUGUCUACUAGUCGUUGGGUCCCUUGAGGACUUAGUGACGCAGCUAACGCAAUAAGUAGACCGCCUGGGGAGUACGGCCGCAAGGUUAAAACUCAAAUGAAUUGACGGGGGCCCGCACAAGCGGUGGAGCAUGUGGUUUAAUUCGAUGCAACGCGAAGAACCUUACCUGGUCUUGACAUACACAGAAUCUUGUAGAGAUACGAGAGUGCCUUCGGGAAUUGUGAUACAGGUGCUGCAUGGCUGUCGUCAGCUCGUGUCGUGAGAUGUUGGGUUAAGUCCCGCAACGAGCGCAACCCUUGUCCUUAGUUACCAGCGGGUUAAGCCGGGAACUCUAAGGAUACUGCCAGUGACAAACUGGAGGAAGGCGGGGACGACGUCAAGUCAUCAUGGCCCUUA
rnacentral:rRNA from 2 species